CCGGGCUGGACAGACAGCAAAACCAGGCCCUGCCUGAGCUUGCUCUACCUGGAUAAUUCCCCCAGGAGCUUAACGAGCAUCUUUCAGGAAUCUGCGAUUUCCUGGACCUACACUGAACCUCAGGCACUGGGGAAGGAGACAGAGAGUGGCGGGAAGGCUGCGAUCCUCAACCCCCUCCCUGUUCAGAUUCUCUGCUAAACCCCCUGGAAACUGAACAUGGGAAUGAUUGAACAGGACGAAGCACCUCCAGGACUUCGUGUACAGCUGUGGCAAAGGUAUCCAGCACUUCAGGGCUCA